rnacentral:rRNA from 1 species
GGCCCUUCGGGGUACUCGAGCGGCGAACGGGUGAGUAACACGUGAGUAACCUGCCCCUGACUCUGGGAUAAGCCUGGGAAACCGGGUCUAAUACCGGAUACGACCAUUUCUCGCAUGGGAUGGUGGUGGAAAGUUUUUUCGGUUGGGGAUGGGCUCGCGGCCUAUCAGCUUGUUGGUGGGGUGAUGGCCUACCAAGGCGACGACGGGUAGCCGGCCUGAGAGGGCGACCGGCCACACUGGGACUGAGACACGGCCCAGACUCCUACGGGAGGCAGCAGUGGGGAAUAUUGCGCAAUGGGCGGAAGCCUGACGCAGCGACGCCGCGUGGGGGAUGACGGCCUUCGGGUUGUAAACCUCUUUCAGCAGGGACGAAGUUGACGUGUACCUGUAGAAGAAGCGCCGGCUAACUACGUGCCAGCAGCCGCGGUAAUACGUAGGGCGCGAGCGUUGUCCGGAAUUAUUGGGCGUAAAGAGCUCGUAGGUGGCUUGUCGCGUCUGCCGUGAAAGCCCGUGGCUUAACUACGGGUCUGCGGUGGAUACGGGCAGGCUAGAGGCUGGUAGGGGCAAGCGGAAUUCCUGGUGUAGCGGUGAAAUGCGCAGAUAUCAGGAGGAACACCGGUGGCGAAGGCGGCUUGCUGGGCCAGUUCUGACGCUGAGGAGCGAAA